rnacentral:lncRNA from 1 species
UUUGAUUUAGUCUGGAGUGGGACUUUUCUGUCGAGGGCCAGAUAGUGAAUAUUUUCAGCUUUGUGGAUCAUAUCUUCUGCAGCUACUUAGCUCUGCAGUUGUAGUGCACAGGCGGCCAUAGACAAUAUGUAAAUGAAUUAAUGUGGCUAUGUUCCAAUAAAACUUUAGUUACAAACACAGGUGAUGGGCUGGAUUUGGCCCGUGGGCCAGUUGCCAACCCCUAGUGUAGGUGGUCUGUUUUGGUAGUUUCUUCGAGAAAUAAUGUGUUGUGCUUGUAGGUACUGAUGCUUAUAGAUGCCAGCUUUGGGUUUGAAAUGGAAAUGUUUGAGUUUCUAAACAUCUGUCAAGCACAUGGCUUUCCUAAAAUUCUGGGAGUUCUCACCCACCUCGACUCCUUCAAGCAUAACAAGCAACUGAAGAAGACAAAGAAGUGAUUAAAACACAGGUUCUGGACAGAAGUUUACCAGGUUGCCAAACUGUUCUACCUUUCUGGAAUGGUGCAUGGAGAAUAUCAAAACCAAGAAAUCCACAAUCUGGGCCAUUUUAUUACAGUUAUGAAGUUUAGGCCUCUCAUGGCAAACUUUUCACCCUUAUAUCCUGGCAGACAGUUAAAAGGAUGGAAGAUUUGACAAACCCGGAGGAUAUCCAAACAAACAUCAAAUGUGACCUGCAGGUGUCACUUUAUGGUUAUUUAAGAGGAGCACACUUGAAAAAUAAAAGCCAAAUUCACAUGCCAGGACAAGGUGGGGCUCACCCAUGAGCUGGUCCAGAGUCUCAUCUCCACCUACUCCACCAUUGAUGCCAAGAUGGCUUCAAGUCGAGUGAUGCUGCUUUCCAAUUCCAAACCACUUGGGUCAGAGGCUAUAGAUAAUCAAGGGUGAGUGGUGUCAUUGAGCAAACACAAAGUCGGGCUCAUCCAAGGAUGAGAUUUUGCCAGAGAAAGGACGAGCAGCAAGUCAGGGAGCUUAAGGUAAUUAUGAGAAAGUGACUAUCUAAAAUUGCUUAGGUAGAAGGAGACAGAUUGGAUUUUUGUGUGUUUGGUAUUUGGGAUAAGAGGGAUGUGGGUGUGUACUUGACAUGGGUUGUUUAUUCUCGCUCUCUCUCUUUUUUUUUUUUUUGAGAGGGAGUCUCACUCUGUCACCCAGGCUGGAGUGCUGUGGCACAGUCUUGGCUCACUGCAACCUCUGCCUCCCGAGUUCAAGGGAUUCUCCUGCCUCAGCCUCCCGAGUAGCUGGGAUUACAGGUGCCUGCCACCAUGCCCGGCUAAUUUUUGUGAUUAUUUUUUUUAGUGGAGACGAGGUUUCACUAUGUAAGUGAAGCUGGUCUCGAACUCCUGACCUCAGAUGAUCCACCCGCCUCAGCCUCCCAAAGUGCUGGGAUUACAGGUGUGAGCCACCGCGCCUGGCCUGUUUAUUCUCUUAAGAGAGAAAAUGAGGGGAUUAAUGGACUGUAGUUCUGGACAAGGUGGAAAACUCUUAAAGUGGAAGUAUUGGGGCGAAUGCUCUGACAGGCUAGGAUGGUGCAGUCAGUCCCUUCACCCAGAAAUCAGUAGAAUGUUAGCAGUUCAGACUCAAACCUUGUGAAAAACAGGUGGUGGAAAGGAAAUCCCUCACAGCAACUGGCACCAUAAUCAAGACAAUGUUUGCAGAAUAAAUGGAGUUACCUGCUUUCAGCCCCAGGUCAUAGCUAUUGUCUGCCCUGCUGAUAUGUGAUAAUAAUUUGUGAUCAUGUUGUCUUAAAAUGGGGUCACUCAUCUCCAGUAGAAUUAAGUCCACAGUGAAGUUGUCCCCCCAUCCCCAAAGAGAUAAACAUAUAUGAAUGAACUCACGUGAUAACAACUACUGCUGCCUGGGAUCAUGAGAGACCUGAACUGAACUGAUAGGAAGUGAAAGGUGGCUGAGAUAAUGAGAAUAGACCCAUCUGCAGAGGAUCAUAAAACCAGCAAAGACAAUAUCUUGUCUAAGAUGCCUUCACAAACUUUGUCCAUGAGAACUCUUAAGGAUUUCACCAGACCUGUUGGCUGCUGCUGUGAUCUCUGCCCAAGAGGAGCCUCUGACCAACAUCCAAAGGGCUUCUGGACCCACUGGACUCCUCUGGAGGUACCUUAGUCUCCCGAUCCAUGGCUGUGUUUUUUUACUCCCUUUAUCGCUGCCUGUGUGUAGAAUGAUAAUUGCACAAUUGAUAGUGUGAAGACCUCUUGAUAAAUGGUAAAUCUGAGCAUAUGUAUUUGGCUGACAUGUCAUUGUGAAACCUCACAGCUUCAGUCAGUGUCAACGCAGCUAGGGAGCAUGUACCUAAUGCACAUAUCACUGGGCAUAGUCUACAGGCACCUAAUAACUCAGGUACCUUAACAGUCACUAAUGAGUGUCUCUCCAAGGACUAAACAAUGGAAGACUGUAGAAGAUGCUAUUCAUUAAGAUAUCUCAAGAAUAUGGAAGACUAUUAUUCACUUCUCAUGGGACAGGACUUUAUAGGGCACCUGAAAAAACUCCCAUGAAAAAUCACUUUUACAAAAUGUCAAGUUAUGAUAUCCAAGAUGAAACCAAUGAGUCACAACAUUCACAUAAUACACUGUACAACCCUGAUCUCUUGACUGUCAUCAAAUGUUUCUUACCUCUAAACCAAAGUUUCAUUUUAUAAUUUAAUUUUUCUCAUUUUUUCCAUUCUCUUAGCUUAAGAAAAGAUCAUUACAAACUUUUUGUAAGUUUUUCAUAUAUGCUUGCAAAGGGUUGUAAAACUUUAUUGUGAUUAUUCUUGCUUUAAGCUGAAACUUCCCUAAUCUUUCUUUAGAGAUUGUGGCAUAGCAUGUUAGUUUCUUUUCCAUAUCCAAUUGUUUUCUGUUAUGAAUACAGAAAUACAGGCACUGUCUUGUAACUUUAAAUAGACAUCAUCUCAAGUCUACAAGAAUUAUCCAAAAUGGUAUUUAAUGACAUUUCUAGGUCUUCAGACACUAUUAAUGCAGAUUGUAGCCUCUAGGUCCUGAAGAUUUUACUAGAUACUGGUUACUGAAACUGAGCUUUCUUGAAUUCUUUUUCCUUCCACUGUGGUUUCCCGCAUUUCAACAUAUCACCUAUUUUUGUCCUCAAAGGUUACUUAAAUGUUUUCCACAGAAUUAAAUUAAAUAUGAAUCAUCCCUCCUCUGAUUUUUGAAAUGACCCUUUGCUUCCUAUGAUAAUGAUUCUUCUGGUCCGUUUUGUAGUUAUAUGUUAGAGUUUGUAAAUAGUCACACAUUUUGCAACUGCAUAUAAUUUUCUUAUUAUUUUUUCCUCUUCCUCUAAAACUGCUGUUAUUUCUUUUAACUUUUUGUGGGAAAAAUUAAACCCAUCUUUCACUUUGUUGAUAUACUUAUUUAUAAUUGAACUCCUUGAUUUUUGCUCGAAUUGCUUUUCAAGUUACCCACUUUUAGGGAAGACAUUAUUUGGGUUUUGUUUAGUGUAUCAGGCUUUUUUUAGUUAGUUGUAUCAAGAAGUGUAGACUUUUCUAUACAUAAUAUCCUUUUUCCCACAGUAUUUUUUUUUUUUUUUAAAGUCUAGCCAGGUGCAGUGGCUCACGCCUGUAAUCCCAGACUUUGGGAGGCCGAGGCCGGCGGAUCACGAAGUCAAGAGAUGGAGACCAUCCUGGCUAACACGUUGAAACCCCGUCUUUACUAAUAAUACAAAAAAUUAGCUGGACAUGGUAACGGGUGCCUGUAGUCCCAGCUAAUCAGGAGGCUGAGGCAGGAGAAUGGCAUGAACCCAGGAGGCAGAGGUUGCAGUGAGCCGAGAUCGUGCCACUGCACUCCAGCCUGGGUGACAGAGCAAGACUCCAUCUCAAAAAAAAAAAAAAAAAAAAUUAUGUUAAAAUAAAGGUCAUCAAAAGAUAUUUUCCUAAACCUUUCCUUUACCAGAAAUAUCUCUAGUGUCACAUGGUCCUUUCUCCCUUCUUGCUUUUGUAGGAAUCCAAAGCUAAUCUGUCCCUGAUCCGGAUUGCACGCACCUGUGCCUUUUGGGGCCCUUCUGCAUUAGUUCUUCCUUCUCUUCUAACCUCAAAAAUGUGUUUUCUCUAUUGGCUCUUUCCCUUUAACAUAGAAGUAUACUCACGCUUUUGUUGAAUCUUGAAAUAAAAGGCUUCCUUUACCACAUAUCUCCCUUUAAUACUACAUCUCUCUUCUCAGCCAAAUACUUGGGAAGAGAAGCCCUGAGUUUGUGUCAUUGUUUUCUCACCUCCAGUUCACUACUUUGCCCACUGCCUGACAUCCAGCUCGCUCACACACACACCCAAGCCCAAUCACUAAGUUGCCAUAGCUAAUUUGUAGCUUUCCUGCCUUCCUGGCAAAAUUUGACUCUGCAUUGGGAUAAUACAUGUCGAGUACCUAUUGAACAGGCACUGUGCUAGGUGCUACUGUUAUAGAUAUGAAAAGAAGGCAUCAUCUCCUUUCUAACAACUCACAGGAGCAGCCAUUUCUGAUUCAUACAUGUCUCUUGACUCCCAGUGCUCACUUUUGCAAGCUUCACUUAAUGCCGUGCAAAUCACCCUAUUCUCCAGGUCUUCUUUCUUCCCAGUUCUCCUUACUAUACACAACUUCUCAAGGCAGUCACCUCCACACCCAUG